rnacentral:rRNA from 1 species
AUUGAGCGCUGGCGGCAGGCUUAACACAUGCAAGUCGAGCGGGGUGAUGGUGCUUGCACUAUCACUUAGCGGCGGACGGGUGAGUAAUGCUUAGGAAUCUGCCUAUUAGUGGGGGACAACAUCUCGAAAGGGAUGCUAAUACCGCAUACGUCCUACGGGAGAAAGCAGGGGAUCUUUAUGACCUUGCGCUAAUAGAUGAGCCUAAGUCGGAUUAGCUAGUUGGUGGGGUAAAGGCCUACCAAGGCGACGAUCUGUAGCGGGUCUGAGAGGAUGAUCCGCCACACUGGGACUGAGACACGGCCCAGACUCCUACGGGAGGCAGCAGUGGGGAAUAUUGGACAAUGGGGGGAACCCUGAUCUAGCCAUGCCGCGUGUGUGAAGAAGGCCUUAUGGUUGUAAAGCACUUUAAGCGAGGAGGAGGCUCUUUUGGUUAAUACCCAGAAUGAGUGGACGUUACUCGCAGAAUAAGCACCGGCUAACUCUGUGCCAGCCGCCGCGGUAA